GGGCCGGUAGCUCAGUUGGCAGAGCAGGGGACUUUUAAUCCCAAGGUCGUGCGUUCGAGCCGCACCCGGCCCA
rnacentral:tRNA from 2 species